rnacentral:rRNA from 1 species
AUUGAACGCUGGCGGCAGGCUUAACACAUGCAAGUCGAGCGGGGUGAUGGUGCUUGCACUAUCACUUAGCGGCGGACGGGUGAGUAAUGCUUAGGAAUCUGCCUAUUAGUGGGGGACAACAUCUCGAAAGGGAUGCUAAUACCGCAUACGUCCUACGGGAGAAAGCAGGGGAUCACUUGUGACCUUGCGCUAAUAGAUGAGCCUAAGUCGGAUUAGCUAGUUGGUGGGGUAAAGGCCUACCAAGGCGACGAUCUGUAGCGGGUCUGAGAGGAUGAUCCGCCACACUGGGACUGGGACACGGCCCAGACUCCUACGGGAGGCAGCAGUGGGGAAUAUUGGACAAUGGGGGGAACCCUGAUCCAGCCAUGCCGCGUGCGUGAAGAAGGCCUUAUGGUUGUAAAGCACUUUAAGCGAGGAGGAGGCUCUUUUGGUUAAUACCCAAGAUGAGUGGACGUUACUCGCAGAAUAAGCACCGGCUAACUCUGUGCCAGCAGCCGCCGUAA